UCCGAAUUGGUGUAGUGGCUAACAUGUGACGCUCUCACCUGCCUCUUAAUCUUUGGUUGAGAUGGAAGAUAACAGUGCCGUCACGCCCGGGGUUCGAUUCCCCGAUUCGGAG